UUUCCGUAGGUGAACCUGCGNAAGGAUCAUUG
rnacentral:rRNA from 2 species